GCCUCCAUAGCUCAGUUAGGUAGAGCACCCGGCUGUUAACCGGGCGGUCGCAUGUUCGAGUCUCUGAAUAGAAAAUCUUGACUGUUCUCCAGUCAGAGAGAAAUCCAUGCUGGAGGCG
rnacentral:tRNA from 1 species